UCAUCUGUUUUUAUUCUUUUAAUUAUUGUUUAAGGUUUAUUAAUCCUUUAGGGGGGAGUUAUCGGAAUUUGAGAAAGUUGCCUUUAGGCUCCAGCCAAACGAAUCAGGUGCCGUCGGCAAACAGAACUAGAGAGAAUAUUAAACUGUAGUUGUAAUCCUAUUUUUUGUUCUUGUUUCUACUUCAUCUAGGGUUUUGGUUAUAUGAUGAUCUGAUCUGAUGCGAUAUUAGAAGAUGGUGGGAGGGAUGAAAUCAUUGAAAGGCAAUGUACGGAGGGGAACUGGAAUUUUCGAUAGAGAUGACAUAAACUUCUAUAUUUUUCCUCUAAUGGCUUUGUUAUUUUUUGGAUUUUCUUUCUUUCUUGAUAGUUAUAACUGUUUCAAGAACACAUUGCAAUCCAACAAGAAUAGCAAUUCUGCAACUUCCAAAUCAAACCUCUUCCCCAAGUGCGGGUUGAAUUAUCACGACUAUACAUCAUGCACUAAUCUCAAGGUAUCGAAUAAUUAGUUAUGUAAUUUAGUUAUAAAAUAAUUAGAUACGUUAUCUCAGUUGAUUUUUUAUACUUUUAUCAUAAAUGUUUUCAAAAAUUGACAACAUCUUUUAUUAUAACAUUUCAGAUCAAAUAAAAGACUAAUGUCCUUAAUGAUCUGCUUAAAGAUUUUUCAAACUUACUAACA
rnacentral:lncRNA from 1 species